CACCUGUGUAUGUUUAACAGCUGUAAGCUAUGUAUAUAUUGAAACGCUGGUUAUAAUAAACUCAGAGUGGCCAUCAGCUCUCUCCGCCUCUAUCCUGAUGUGUACAUUGGAUUGCGACACCGACAUAUGGUGACCCCAACGUGAUCCAAGAUCGGCGGCAUUAUUGGGUCCCCGCGGAUGGAAGCUUUCCCCCCAUCAGCGGUUCUCCACUGAAUCAGCAGCAGGAGUCCUGGAUGAUCCCCUGGUCGCACGGCCCCUCCCCUGCUCCUUCCCGACCCGCGCCGCAGCCAUCGCAGACUCUAGGGGAGGGAGCGAUGUUCUCUCCUACCGUUCCAGCACCUCCGAGGCCAUCUGCAAGGUUUAUGAUCUCCGCCUUCUUGGUACUGUAGGUCUCUAAUGAGCUGCCAUUAUGUUUAUUCUCUGAAAUUCAGUUCUUCCAAUCUUUUGUUGUAUUUUGGAGGGGAGAGAAUCCCGGGUCAGCUCACCCCGCCAUUUUGCUCCGCCCCUAUUUCCUCUGACCUCCCAAUUUUUAAAUAGCUUUGAUCCAGAAAUUCCCUUAUGCUUUUAUGUGAUAAACACACCUAAGAGUCCUACUGUUAUCAUCUUUCAAAAAGCGGGCAAGGUUAUAAAAUGCUUGGAGUGGAUAUACUUGCCCCAGACACAAGCUAAGGUACUCUAUACAUAUUUUGAUGGAAUAGCAGAGGUUAUUCAAAGGGGAUGUUUGUGGUGUUUACAAUUGCAAGGCGCUGACCCUCAGACCAUUUUUUUACCUUGCACAUCUUCUCAAUUUGAUCAUCUCCUCGGUUAUCUCUUCCCAACCUAUUCCUGAUGCCUUAACCGUGUUCACUGACGGCUCCGGAAAAACCGGAAAAGCCAGUAUAGCUUGGCUUGCUAAUAAUGACCGGCAGACCAAAGUCUCUCACGGACAUUCAACUACUCAAAUUGCAGAAUUGGCAGCUGUGCACAUUUCUUUCUGAUAUCGCUUCUAUUGACACUCACUCUCAAUUUCUUUUCACAUCGGCACAUACAAAAAACAGCGCUAAACAAGUCAUUCAUCAUUAGCUUGCUACAUUUGCUUUCGUGGGGUCUCCUACAUGCAUUAAAACUGAUAAUGGUCCCGAGUUCUCAGCGCAAAUUUUCUGCCAAUUUUGUGCAAAUUGGAAUAUUAUCCAUAAAACUGGCAUCCCCUAUAAUUCUAUGGGACAAGCUAUUAUUGAGAGAUGUCAUAGAACACUGAAGACUGCUUUACAAAAAAUGAAAGGGGGAAAUGAGUAUUAUAAGAAUGAUCCACAAGGUAUCCUCAAUCACGCCUUAUUUACUUUAAAUUUUUUCAAUCUAGCGGAGGACGGCACAUCAGCUGCAGAAAGAUAUAUGGGUCAAACUCAGAACCAUAUGGCCCAACAAAGGCCGCAUUACACACAUCUGUUUUGACACAAUAUCUUGGCAAAAUGUGGAUUAAAACGUCCUUAUACGGAUAUCUGGGAGGGGCCUUUUAUGGUUAAAUGUGGGAAGAGAGGAGCUCUUUGUGUUUUGACAGAUAAAGGCAUUGAGUGCAUUCCAUCAAAACGCACACGGCCUGCUCUGGAAUAACCGGAAAAUGGACAAACAGAUAAGUAAAUCAGUUUUUUUCUUUUUCCUCUUUUCUUGUCUAAUGCAUGUUGAGGUGAUUUCAGAGCAUGCGAAUCUCACAUAUUGGGCCUUUAUUCCUAAUCCUCCUCUCUCUACUCUGGUUACUUGGUGGCUUGCCAAUCCCCCUUUGUCCUCUACUGAUGCUGAUUGGACAGGAGGAACUGGGGUACCCCGACAACAACAUACAGCCCUGCACCUAAAGGAAGAAGAACCUCUGGUGAUGUAUGCUAACAAUUCACCUUUUUGUAUGGUUUAUUAAAACAAAAGCACAACAUGUGUCGCCUUUCAGGAACAAAUGUAUUUUAUUACCAACCUAAGAAAGAACAACAGGCAGCCAAUGUGACAUACAUCACUGCUAUAUCAACAUCUUACGAAGACAGAAGUAAUGUCACACAAGUUCCUUCCAUCCCAAUUUGCCAUCCAAAAACUGAUUGGUGUUACAAACAUUACUCAGUACAGUGAUCCCCUUGCCGUACAGCAUAUCCAAGCCCGGGCAACACCUUUGGGGCCAACGUGCUGGAUUAGGGACCUCAUGGACAUCUUUUAAGUGACAAUCAUACUUGGGCCUUCAACAGAUCAAGUCAGAAACCUAUAACAUGGAGCGAACACAGCCCAUCUGGACCCCUUUCACAACUAUUGUACAAUGAGACAGUGUACAGCCCCCUCACAAAGGAAUAUGGAGGAUCGGGUUGCCUUUUAUAUGACAACGAUUGUCCCAUGGUAAAUAUGAGAAUGCAAGUGGCGAUUAUUCAUUGACUCUGAUUCAAAAUGUUUCUGAUACCAUUAUGAUCUGUACCACCCAUCCUUAUGUGUUAUGGGGAAAAAAUGUCCCCACUAUUGAAGAAUCUUCUAGUAUGGAUGUAAUUAAUAUUUCUCCCCCAUAUUGGUAUUCUGAUUGUUUAACGCAUUGUAAUGUAACCUCAUUGAAUGUGACCUAUGUAAUGGUGUUAAAAGAAGAGCACAUAUUUGGUUACCUGUUUCUCUAAAUCAGACAUGGUCCGAAGAGCAUGCUCUACAUAUCCUCCUUGAGUCCAUGAGAAAAUUAUGCCCUAAGCAGUUUUUGGCUACACUAAUCGCGUUCAUUGUGUCCGCGGUGAUUAUCAUUGCAUCAGCUGCUACAGUUACUACUGCCUUCGUUAACAGUGUUCAAACAGCCCAUAAGGUGGAGUCCAUCUUGGUAAAUGUCACUCAAGAAUUACGGACACAGGCAGAUAUUGAUAAAGGGCUAAUGUCAGGAUUGCAGGCAUUAGAGGCAGCAGUAGAGUGGCUGGGAGAGCAGCAAAAUGCAUUCUAUAUGCAUAUGAAACUAAAAUGUGACUGGCAAUUUACCAUGCAAUGCGUUACCCCCCCUACUGUAUAAUAGCUCGCUGACAUCUUGGCAAGAAAUAAAAAAACAUUUACAGGGGGCAUUUAAUACCUCCCUGGCCAAUGACAUCACUCUGCUACAAGCUCAGUUAGAGAGGCAGUUACAAGAAGUACAUAAGGUGUUCUCUCAAAAAAUAUUUCAAGACAUUGAAAAUGGGUUACACUGGCUAGAGCCCUCCAAUUGGUUCUCGGGCCUCAAUUUACACAUAUUUGUUAAUACUGGUGUGAUUUUGAUAUUAUCCAUGUUAAUAGUUUAUGUUUUACGUCUGCUGUGCUCCCUGAAAAAACAACAAAGUCAACAAGAGCAAGCAUUGGUUAUGAUGGGCCUUCUGGCCUCAGCACAACAUGACACCUUCCCUGCUUUAAAAAACAAAAAAUGGGGAAAUGUAGCCACCCCUGACACAGGAAGGGUUAAUAAUCACUGGAAAAAGCUUGUCAACAAACUGUGACCUGGAGGUGAGAAGGCCGGUUAGCCAAUGACGGGUAAGACCCCCAGGGUGGGGGGGUGGCAACCUAAGCCAGGCAGCGGCUGCCCGGGGACACAGAUGGAGAAACGAUAUCUAUAUCGGGAGCAGGAGGGACCAUUGCCUAAGAGACCUUGCCUGCUCCAAGAUAAAAAUAUAGGAGCACAGCAAUAACAUGAUAAUAUCAAAACAGAGGCCAAGGGAGGGCUCCUUGAGAAAUCACUAAGAAUUCUUGGCAUUUGCUAAUUAAUUCAUCCAGAACACCUGUGUAUGUUUAACAGCUGUAAGCUAUGUAUAUAUUGAAACGCUGGUUAUAAUAAACUCAGAGUGGCCAUCAGUGCUCUCUGCAUCUAUCCUGAUGUGUACACUGGAUUGCGACACUGACAGAGGCAUCACACUCCCUGAUUUCAAAGCUAUAGUAAUCAAAACAGCGUGGUACUGGCACAAAAACAGACACAGAUCAAUGGAAGAGAAUCGAGAGCCCAGAAGUAAACCCACACAUUUAUGGACAGCUAAUAUUCAACAAGGGAGCCAAGAACAUACAAUGGAGAAAGGAGAGUCUCUUCAAUAAUGGCGUAGGGGAAACUGGACAGCUACA
rnacentral:lncRNA from 1 species